GAUGAACGCUAGCGGGAGGCUUAACACAUGCAAGUCGAGGGGUAUAGUAGCAAUACUAGAGACCGGCGCACGGGUGAGUAACGCGUAUGCAACCUGCCCUUUACAGGGGGAUAGCCCGGAGAAAUCCGGAUUAAUACCCCAUAGUACUAUUUUGUCGCAUGGCAAGAUGGUUAAAGUACCAACGGUAAAGGAUGGGCAUGCGUGACAUUAGUUUGUUGGCGGGGUAACGGCCCACCAAGACUACGAUGUCUAGGGGUUCUGAGAGGAUGAUCCCCCAAACUGGUACUGAGACACGGACCAGACUCCUACGGGAGGCAGCAGUGAGGAAUAUUGGUCAAUGGGCGCAAGCCUGAACCAGCCAUCCCGCGUGAAGGAUGAAUGCCCUAUGGGUCGUAAACUUCUUUUAUGUACCAAGAAUAUGCCUUACGUGUAGGGUAUUGACGGUAGUGCAUGAAUAAGCAUCGGCUAACUCCGUGCCAGCCGCCGCGGUAAAAC
rnacentral:rRNA from 1 species